rnacentral:pre_miRNA from 1 species
AAGAUACUCCCUCCGUCCCAAAAUUCUUGUCUUAGUUUUGUCUAAAUAUGGAUGUAUUUAGUUACGUUUUAGUGUUAGAUACAUCCGUAUCUAGACAAAUCUAAGACAAAAAUUUUAGGACAGAGGGAGUAUAAG